CCUACGGGUGGCAGCAGUGGGGGAUAUUGCACAAUGGGGGGAACCCUGAUGCAGCGACGCCGCGUGGGUGAAGAAGCGUUUCGGCGCGUACAGCCCUAUCAGCAGGGAAGAAGAUGACGGUACCUGACGAAGAAGCCCCGGCUAACUACGUGCCAGCAGCCGCGGUAAUACGUAGGGGGCAAGCGUCAUCCGGAUUUACUGGGUGUAAAGGGGGCGCAGACGGCGAUGCAAGCCAGGAGGGAAAGCCCGGGGCCCAACCCCGGGACUGCUCUUGGAACUGCAUGGCUGGAGUGCAGGAGGGGCAGGCGGAAUGCCUAGGGUAGCGGUGAAAUGCGUAGAUAUUAGGAGGAACACCGGUGGCGAAGGCGGCCUGCUGGACUGUGACUGACGUUGAGGCCCGAAGGCGUGGGGAGCAAACAGGAUUAGAUACCCCUGUAGUC
rnacentral:rRNA from 1 species